AUUUUGAUUAUAAUUUCACUAUAUAGUUGUAUUACAUCACGACAUUGGGUACCUAAUUGUGGAAGGUAGAAUGGAAAUUGCAAGAACAAAAUCAUAAUUCUAAUAGAAUAUUAAAUAAAUUCUAAUUAUAUCUUAAUAAUACUAAACAAGCUUUAAUCAAAUUCAAAAGAGAAAUCUUAAAGAAAUUACAAAAGAAACAAUAAGAUAUAUUAAAGGAGUUGAAAGAUAAUCCAUAAUAAACCUUAAAAUAAUCCUUAAGAAGUUCUAAAAAAUAUUAAAAUAAUUACAAUAUAUCUUAAAUAAAUCUCAACUAAGCUCUAAUUUAAUCAAAAUUGAAAUCCUAAUAGACUUCAAUCAAAUCCUAAUAAAAUUCUAAAUCCUAAUUCAAAUCAUAAUCAAAUAUUAAAUCCUAAAUCCUAACCAAAUUCUAAAUCCUAAAUCAAAUCCUAACCAAUCUUAAACCGUAAAUCAAAUUUUAGACAAAUCUUAAUCAAAUCCUAAAUUCUAAAUCAAAUCCUAAUCAAAUCCUAAAUUCUAAAUCAAAUCCUAAUCAAAUCCUAAAUUCUAAAACAAAUCCUAACUAAAUUUUAAAUCUUAAAUCAAACCUUAAUCAAAUUCUAAACAAAU
rnacentral:lncRNA from 1 species